UAAGACGUGAGUGGCAAGCGUUAUCCGGAAUUACUGGGCGUAAAGAGCGCGUAGGCGACUUUGCAAGUCAGGGGUGAAAAGUCAGGGCUUAACCUUGGCCUUGCCUUUGAAACUGCAGAGAUAGAGUACAGGAUAGGAGGGUGGAACUACAAGUGUAGCGGUGGAAUGCGUAGAUAUUUGUAGGAAUGCCGAUGACGAAGGUAACUCUCUGGACUGAUACUGACGCUGAGGUGCGAGAGCUAGGGGAGCAAACAGGAUUAGAUACCCUGGUAGUCCUAGCUGUAAACGAUGGAUACUGGGUGUGGGCUAUAGUAUGGUCUGUGCCGAAGCAAACGCGAUAAGUAUCCCGCCUGGGGAGUACGACCGCAAGGUUGAAACUUAAAGGAAUUGACGG
rnacentral:rRNA from 1 species